UGUCUGUCAACGCGAAAACGAUAAUGAAAUUUCUUGUAAAGGGACAAACAGGACGAUUUAUUACGAAAUCUUAUGAAGUGAAACAUAAACCUACGUGCGUAAAAACAUACAAAUAAAUAAAUAAAUACACACACACACACACACACACGCUGAUUAGAAUCAACUUAGUAUCAUUAGCUUUUUGUAUUGUUUUGGAACGGGAUAAAUAAGGUUAGAAUUGUUUUUGUAUUCCUUGUGAAAUUCAGAGAAUUUAUAUUAUGUUAAAAUUUUGUAUGUUCUUUCGAUAAGAAAUAAAAGCAAGGUCAUGAUUUAAUGUACGACGUGUAUAACGACGACGACAUUCAUUCGUUCGAAAGUUUUCGUAAAGGAAACACGCUGAUACACGGAGUUUGACAAAAGCGAUUCAAGAGGAGAAUAAAAUUCGUAUUCGAUGUGUUUCGCGAGGAUGCAAUUAACCUUGAAGGAAAAAUUCAGCUCGUAUCACGGUAGAAACUUCCGGCUACUCGAGUAGAUAUGUACGUAUGUACAUAGGAUAGAGAGAUAGGCUGAAAAGGAAGAGUCGUGGGGGGCCCUACCUCGAGUAUUGAUCUGCACGGAGAGUUGUGUGCGGCCACCGUUGCUACCGCUGCACCGCCAUAACCGAGUAUAAUACUAGCAGCAGACACAUAUAUAACAUAUGUACGCUUAUUCGUUCGUAUAUCUUGUACAGAAGUGUGUUGCGCGCGCGUGUGUGUGUGUGUAUAGUGUGUAUAUAUAUACACAGUAUUAUAAUAGUAUAAUAUAAUAGCGUGUGAGUGUACACACACACACACACACACACACACACACACACACACACACGCUAUUAUAUCCGCUUUAAACACGUCCAAUCUCUUUCUCAUAUCACAAAAAUUCGAAUGCAAUAAAUAUCCGAUCGUAACUUACCGCUAGCAGCUUCCUUCGUAUUAAGAUCGUAACCAUUCACGAGUACUGGCCGCACGCGAAAAUCUUCCUUACGGCCAAUCGACGAUUGAACAGACGAUUCUCCAUUUUUAUUGGUCCAUCGACCUUUGGAACCUCGCUGUUGUUGCAACGUCGACGAUCUCGAAGUAUUCGUAUUGUUCGGUCCUGUACUUUCCGAACGAUUUCCACCUGAAAAUGGGAAACAUUCCAAUUGCUUGUCCUUUAUUUUAUUAUAUUUACUUUUUUUUCUUUUCAUUUCUUUUUCCCUUUUCUUUUUAUUUCAUUUAAUCGUAAUACACUGUAGUAUAAAAAUAUUAACUAAAAAAAGGUUAUUAGGGAGAGACGAUUUUAAAAGAGAAGCAUUCCCGCGUUAUUUCUACUUAAAAAAAAAAUGCAAGUAAAAGAGAUGAUAAAUCAUCGAUUUCUCCGAGUAUUAAUCGAGAUAAACAUUAAUAUAGACGAUAUUAAAAGAUUUGAGAAAAUAGGUUAGUGCAGUUUUGGUGAACGUUUUGUAAGUCGCGCGAUGAAGGAGAAGGCAUGUAAAAACGUUUUUGGAACGGAUCCCGGUCGCAGAAAUUCCAAUGGCAAAGGUUGGUACUACUGCAUCGCUGUGUUAACCACCAAGGCGGUAUUUUCAAAUCAUCAGUAGUGUGCAUAGUUCUAUCCGAGUGAUUUUGGUGUGAUCGACGAGUGUAUUGACGAGAAAGUGUCGGACAAAGUAAGAUAAUAUCAACACGGUAACAAUAAUAAACUAAUUUUAAUCUUACACAUUUUACACAUUUUUCUUACUUUCUUUAGAUUUUAAUGUUAUUUUAAGAAAAAGAAAUAUCUAUUUGAAUCGAUAGGAUCAUAACAAGUAUAAAUGAAAACAUUACAAAUUGAAAUAAUUGUAUUUUGAUUUUUUGAUGAACUUUGUAAAGAAUAUAUUGCACACUAGUAUUCCAUAAUAAAUAAUAGACCAUAUUGGGUUAUCAUAAAUAUUUUUUUUUUUCUUCUGUAAAAUGGCAAAGGAUAACUAACCAAAUUUAUAUUUCUUUUUUCUUUUCAUUUACUUUUUCUUUUUCUUUUUUUUUUAUAUCUCACAUGCACUUGCACAGUAUCUUCUUACGUAAGUCUUGUGACUUGUGUUUAUUGUAAUGAUAUUACAAUUUAAUUAUGAAUAAUAAUAUAAGAACGCAUUCGUUAAUUGCAUUUAACUUAUUAGCUAUCUACAAUUAACAUUAUAGAAAAUACAUAGUGACUUUCUGGUUGCCCAACAAACUCAUUACAUACAAAUUGUUUUUUGUUAAUUGACUUUUCGAAUACUGCAAAUCGUAUAUAAAUUUUGUCCCCCUUCAAUGAGUAGUUUUAUAGCAAUAAAUAUUAUGAAAACACCAAUAACUAUGCACAGAGCAUCAUUUGAGUUAUGUAUAGAGUAAUUUAUUUGGUUUAUGAGAUUUAUUUAUAAACUGUAUUUAUCAAUGUGUAUGUAACGAUUUUAACGAUGUCUCAAAAUACCGUCUGAUUUUUAUUGAGUGCCAAAGUAAUAUUUUUAUAAUUCUUUAGAAAUGAUUAUAUUAGUAAAAUAUGUUUGUCCAAUUAAUUUCAACUGUUAUAUGGAAUAAUGUAAAAGUUUGCUCACCAAAUAAUUCCAAGUCUAGUUUGCAUAGUCUAUUUCUAUUAAAAAAAAAAAAAAAAAAAAAAAAA